GGUCGGCAGCCCCCGCGGCGCCGCCGAUGUCCCCGGAGGGCGCCCUGCCCGCCCCGCUCCUCCUCCUCCUGGCCUCGCCAGCCCCUCUCCGUUUCCAGAACUCGGCAGCUCCCGGAGAGGCGCGUUCCGUCCAUCACCCACAGAUCCUCGCCUCCUCCUCUUAGAGAUUAAAAUGGGAGUCCUGUUGACAUCUUCCUCAGUUUUCUUUAGUCUUCGAGCCCUGGGUGAUUUCCAGUGCAUUCACAUAACCACAUCUCAACUAAACCACAGCUGUGAACACACAGUGCCUUCCAUUGCCAAUGCACAUGAUGCGAACUCAUACCGUCCUUCUAGAAGUCCGAGAGAUUAGCCUCAGGAAGACCUCCAUAAAGAGAGAGAAAGCACAAGCAGGG